ensembl:lncRNA
GCAUUAUUAAAGCAUAAUAAAAGCAUUCCAUAUGACCUGUGCACUAUUCUAAGUCUUCCAAAGUUAUGUGAUAACCUCUUGUGAAGUUUUUGAGAAAUUCAGGUUAUUAUUCACUAAAAAUCUUGCCUUAAAUCAAUUCACUCUUCACUUUUUUUGUAGGAAAAAGAGCAGCUUGGACAUCCUGCUACUCUUCAAAAGACACAAGGGCUCAUCGGUCUGAAAAGCGAGGUGUGCUGUGAUUGGCCAGCUAUCCAGUGCCUUGUGAUUGGCUGAAUACCUCAAGCGUGUGAUGGAAAUGUUACGCCCCUUAACAUAUUGUGAUGCCCUGUACGGCCGGAGCAACGAGACAUAAACAUUAAAACCC